rnacentral:rRNA from 1 species
AACGCGAAGAACCUUACCUGGGCUUAACAUCCCCUGACAUCCGCAGAGAUGCGGCUUCUCCUUCGGGAGCAGGGAGAUAGGUGCUGCAUGGCUGUCGUCAGCUCGUGUCGUAAGAUGUUGGGUUAAGUCCCGCAACGAGCGCAACCCUUGCUCUUAGUUGCCACCAUUAAGUUGGGCACUCUGAGAGGACUGCCGGUGUUAAACCGGAGGAAGGCGGGGAUGACGUCAAGUCCUCAUGGCCCUUACGUCCAGGGCUACACACGUACUACAAUGGCAGAGACAAAGGGUCGCGAAGCCGCGAGGUGGAGCUAAUCCCAAAAACACUGUCUCAGUCCGGAUUGAAGUCUGCAACUCGACUUCAUGAAGCUGGAAUCGCUAGUAAUCGAAGAUCAGCACGCUUCGGUGAAUACGUUCCCGGGCCUUGUACACACCGACGCGUA